CCUACGGGUGGCAGCAGUGAGGAAUAUUGGUCAAUGGGCGCGAGCCUGAACCAGCCAAGUAGCGUGAGGGAUGACUGCUCUAUGGAUUGUAAACUUCUUUUAUAAGGGAAUAAAGCGAGGCACGUGUCCCUUUUUGCAUGUACUUUAUGAAUAAGGAUCGGCUAACUCCGUGCCAGCAGCCGCGGUAAUACGGAGGAUCCGAGCGUUAUCCGGAUUUAUUGGGUUUAAAGGGAGCGUAGAUGGGUUGUUAAGUCAGUGGUGAAAGUUUGCGGCUCAACCGUAAAAUUGCAAUUGAUACUGGCAGUCUUGAGUAUAUUUGAGGUAGGCGGAAUGCGUGGUGUAGCGGUGAAAUGCUUAGAUAUCACGAAGAACCCCGAUUGCGAAGGCAGCUUACUAAGCCGUGACUGACACUGAUGCACGAAAGUGUGGGGAUCAAACAGGAUUAGAUACCCCAGUAGUC
rnacentral:rRNA from 1 species